rnacentral:rRNA from 1 species
GCAACUCGCCUGCAUGAAGCUGGAAUUGCUAGUAAUCGCGGAUCAGCAUGCCGCGGUGAAUACGUUCCCGGGCCUUGUACACACCGCCCGUCACACCAUGAGAGUCGGGGACACCCGAAGUCCGUAGUCUAACCGCAAGGAGGGNGCGGCCGAAGGUGGGUCCGGUAAUUGGGGUGAAGUCGUAACAAGGUAUC